GGUUCCUUGACAAUACUUUCAUUGGUGCAGAGUAUCGUAGGUAUUCUGCUCCUUCGAUCUCUAUGAGGAUCUGCACACGGAGAGCAGAAAGAGGAGUAUAGGAGUCAUACUUAUCGUAAUUCGAUCUUGAACUCCGUCGUCGGGGCGAAGCUCGCUUAUUGGAAGGUGGCCGACUUGAUUCGGCCAGAGCUCCUCCCUUCUUCUAUUUUUUUCUUCUGACCUUUGCCUUCUGUCUGGCAUCGGUCAGAAGCUCCUUCAUCUGCAUGUAUAUACUUGUAUGCAUGCUCCAGAAGUUCAGUAUAAGUC
rnacentral:lncRNA from 1 species